UGGGUGGAGGAAGACUUGCAAUUAGAUCUACUUUUACUUUAUCCACUUCAAUUUUUUUUUUCGAAACUACAUGGCCAAGAACUAUCCUUUUUCUAACCAUGAAUUGAUAUUUUUUUCAAUUGAGAACUAAGUGCUUCUCCCUAUAUCCUUUUAGGACUAAUCUUAGAUGAUCUAAGCAUUCGAAGAAGGUAGGGCCAAAGAUAGAAAAGUCAUCCACAAAAAUUUUUAGAAAUUAUUCAACCAUAUCAGAAAAAAUGCUGAU
rnacentral:lncRNA from 1 species